GACGAACGCUGGCGGCGUGCUUAACACAUGCAAGUCGAACGGAGUGGCGAACGGGUGAGUAACACGUGGGUGACCUGCCCUGCACUUCGGGAUAAGCCUGGGAAACUGGGUCUAAUACCGGAUAGUGUGGGCAGGGCCCGCGGCCUAUCAGCUUCUUGGUGGGGUAGUGGCCUACCAAGUCGGCGACGGGUAGCCGGCCUUCGAGGUUUGACGGCCACAUUAGGACUGAGACACGGCCCAGACUCCUACGGGAGGCAGCGGUGGGGAAUAUUGCGCAAUGGGCGGGAGCCUGAUGAAGCGACGCCGGGUGGGGGAUGACGGCUUGCGGGGUGUGAACUCCUUUCACCAUCGACGCGGUAGAUGGAGAAGAAGCACCGGCUAACUACGUGCCAGCAGCCGCGGUAAUUC
rnacentral:rRNA from 1 species